CAGGGAGACAACAAAAUGUUAAAUAUUAUUUUGUCACCUUAGGUCGAUCGGUAUCUCACGUUCUUAAUUCAUUAAGAAUUUCAAUUCCUAAGUUUUUCUAGGUCACACCCAUUAUUUUUCCUGGGCCAUUAGCUCAGGUGGUUAGAGCGCACCCCUGAUAAGGGUGAGGUCCCUGGUUCAAGUCCAGGAUGGCCCAUAUCUCUAUGUUGGGGGUAUAGCUCAGUUGGUAGAGCGCCUGCUUUGCAAGCAGGAUGUCAGCGGUUCGAGUCCGCUUACCUCCACUGAUUACCACCUCUUCCAUAAUCUGGAGAAAGGAAAUAUUUUGAGUGUGAUCAAAUUCUGAACGAAUCUAGCUUCCUAAUGAAAUCAUUAAGAUGCUGGACUCAUUGAAUUAAUUUCAUUGUUUUCAGAGAACCUUGACAACUGCAUAGAUUAUUUUUAAAGACAAUAAGCAUCUUUAAUGAUGCAGAUUUAUUAUUUGUGCGAAUGCAUUAAUAACAAUUCUAUUAAGCUGAUGCUUCAAUUUUGAAGUUAUU
rnacentral:tRNA from 1 species